rnacentral:lncRNA from 1 species
UGAGAUUGUAGUUUCUGCCCUUCAGAAGAAUGCUGCUGCGUUAAAUCUUCAAUAGUCCUUUUUGCAGCCUGAAGUUGUUCAACUGAUCCGUCCUUCUCAGCAACGGCAGUGGAAUAUUUUGCUUCAAGGUCACUUAGUUUGGACUCGUAUGUAGACGCAUCUUCUUUAAGCUUUAUAUUUGCCUCAGCUAGUUUUCUGCUCUCUUCUUCAAAGUGAGCUGACUUGGUUUGCAGUUCCUUGAGAGAAUUCUGCAACAAAGGUUUCUCAGCAACCUCAGACUUGAGAUUUUCAACCUCAGAUUUUAAAGCAACUUCUCCUGCUUUUUGUUCCUUGAGCUGUUCUUCAAGGUUGGAUAUCACUUGCUGGAGUUCCUUCUUAGUAUUUUGAUGCACUUCAUCAAGCAGGCGGUUCUCACCCAUAAGCGAAAAUAUCUGUAGCAAACAGAUGUAGCUAAUAACCAUAAGGCAACAAUAUUUAGCCGCAAAAUAAUUAAAAAAAAGUUUGGUGCAAACCUGAGAUUGUAGUUUCUGCCAUUUAGAAGAAUGCUGCUGCGUUAAAUCUUCAAUAGUCCUUUUUGCAGCCUGAAGUUGUUCAACUGAUCUGUCCUUCUCAGCAACGGCAGUGGAAUAUUUUGCUUCAAGGUCACUUAGUUUGGACUCGUAUGUAGACACAUCUUCUUUAAGCUUUAUAUUUGCCUCAGCUAGUUUUCUGCUCUCUUCUUCAAAGUGAGCUGACUUGGUUUGCAGUUCCUUGAGAGAAUUCUGCAAUAAAGGUUUCUCAGCAGCCUCAGACUUGAGAUUUUCAACCUCAGAUUUUAAAGCAACUUCUCCUGCUUUUUGUUCCUUGAGCUGUUCUUCAAGGUUGGAUAUCACUUGUUGGAGUUCCUUCUUAGUAUUUUGAUGCACUUCAUCAAGCAGGCGGAUCUCAUCCAUAAGCGAAGAUAUCUGUAGCAAACAGAUGUAGCUAAUAACCAUAAGGCAACAAUAUUUAGCCGCAAAAUAAUUAAAAAAAAGUUUGGUGCAAACCUGAGAUUGUAGUUUCUGCCCUUCAGAAGAAUGCUGCUGCGUUAAAUCUUCAAUAGUCCAUUUUGCAGCCUGAAGUUGUUCAACUGAUCUGUCCUUCUCAGCAACGGCAGUGGAAUAUUUUGCUUCAAGGUCACUUAGUUUGGACUUGUAUGUAUACACAUCUUCUUUAAGCUUUAUAUUUGCCUCAGCUAGUUUUCUUCUCUCUGCUUCACAGUUAGCUGAUUUGGUUUGCAGUUCCUUGAGAGAUUUCUGCAAUAAAGGUUUCUCAGC